rnacentral:rRNA from 1 species
GACAGAGGGUGCAAACGUUGUUCGGAAUUACUGGGCGUAAAGCGCGUGUAGGCGGCCCUGCAAGUCGGAUGUGAAAUCCCACGGCUCAACCGUGGAAGUGCAUUCGAAACUGCAGGGCUAGAGUCCUGGAGAGGAAGGUGGAAUGCUUGGUGUAGAGGUGAAAUUCGUAGAUAUCAAGCGGAACACCGGUGGCGAAGGCGGCCUUCUGGACGAGUGA